ACUUAGAUAGCUUAAAUUUUAAAGCUUAAUUUUGAAGAAAUUAUUAUAGAUUAUUUUAUCUUCUAAGUA
rnacentral:tRNA from 1 species